AGGCCAGACCUGUGCCCUCAUUGCUCUCAAAAAUAAAAAGAGAUGUCUGGAAAUUAAAGCAAGUGUCUGAGAUUAUACUGUUUUCUUGCAUCUUGACUCUUACAGCUAAGGACAAACGUGAUGCUGUUGCCUGUGUUUUCCUUAGAACCACAGAAUGGCUUGAGUUGGAAGGGACCUCAGUCAUUAUCCAGUUCCACUCCUACACCAUGGGCAGGGUUGCCAACUUACUCAGGCAUCUUUAUGGGCACAGAGCAGCAUAUGCCUCUGCCCUUCACAAUGACUUUCUUCAAGCACUUGAAUUGAUCUUUUUUCCAGAUGAAGACAUAUACCAUUCUGAACCACAUUUGAGGGUGUUUCCAACUAAGCUUGGUGAGGGAUGAAGCUAUAAGGACUCAUUGCCAAGAAAUGCUAGUGGAUACACACCUUCACCCCUCUUGCAGAGAACUAUUGAUGGGCUCACGUGGCUGAGAUAUUUAUGAAGAAACUUCUUGUACAAGGUUAAAGCACACACACUGGGAAAGGAAAGCAGCUGCCUUCUAAGCUGUACUCCAAUGAGUUUAUGGAGACGUCGUGGCAGUUGAAUUUAUACGAGCUGAACAGCUUCAAAAGAAAUGCUGAGUAG
ensembl:lncRNA